rnacentral:misc_RNA from 1 species
AAAAGAAAAAAAAAAAAAACUAUUCUCAGCUUCCUCAGUUCCUCACUACUUCAAUUAAUUCUUCAUUUUACUUAGUAUCAAGAAAAAAUAAACUAGAGAGAGUAUUCUUCACACUUUUUUUGGGGUGCUAUUGCUUAAUUGCAUUUGCAAAUUUGUUGUUAAAACAUGUUAGUUAUGCUAUAUUUAUGAUGGAUUACUAAUAUUAUGCACUCCAUGACUUGACCUACAAUUUUUUUCAAAAUGUAGAAGUCUAGCUUGAUUAAUAUUCUUAAUGUGUAAAGCAUGCAUUCUUUGUCCUUUAUUUUUAAAAUUUGUUUAUGCUCAUUAGUUACUUGUAUUUCUCAACUAUGGUUAAUAUCUAUUAGUGCAGUACAUUCUUCAUUUUUUUUUUGCAAUUGUGUACCAUAGUUAUUAAAGGCAUAGUUGUUUAGUGCCUAGGCGCAAGGCUUAGGUACAUGCCUAAAUGAGGUGAGG